GUUACGGACAACCGAAAGCAGCAGCAGCGCCGGCAGUAGAGCGGAGAACACCUUUAAAUGGAGCAGACAGAGGAGUGGAUAAAAUGACCACUUCAUCAUCGGGGCCAAAAAUACUGCUGCAGUCGGAUGGAGCGAAGAGUUGAGGCAGAAUUCCAUCUACAUGUUGCAUUUCUAUGUAAAAGUCACACAAGUUAAAAGAAGUCCUGUUCAAACACCAAC